AGUGAACGCUGGCGGUAGGCCUAAUACAUGCAAGUCGAGCGACCGCACGGGAAGAGUUUGCCCCUACGGGUGGCGAGUGACGGACGGGUAAGGAAUAGAUAGGAAUCCACUAAUACGUGGGGGACAACGUGGGGCAACUGAUGAUAAUACCGCAUAUGUCCAACGGGUGAAUUCAAGAGAGCUACGGACCUUUCGUGUUUGAUUGAGCCGGUGCCGCAUUAGCUAGUUGGCGAGGUAACGGCACACCAAGGCAACGAUCCGUAGCUGACCUGAGAGGAUGAUCGGCCACACUGGAACUGAGACACGGUCCAGACUCCUACGGGAGGCAGCAGUAGGGAAUAUUGGGCAAUGGGCGAAAGCCUGAUCCAGCCAUGCCGCGUGGGUGAAGAAGGUCUUCGGGUUGUAAAGCCCUUUUGUUAGGGAAGAAAAUCAGCAGAUUAAUCCCCCCAUGUUCUGACGGUACCCAAAGAGUAAGCACCGGCUAACUUCGUG
rnacentral:rRNA from 1 species